UACGUAGGGUCCGAGCGUUGUCCGGAAUUACUGGGCGUAAAGAGCUCGUAGGUGGUUUGUCGCGUUGUUCGUGAAAACUCACAGCUUAACUGUGGGCGUGCGGGCGAUACGGGCAGACUUGAGUACUGCAGGGGAGACUGGAAUUCCUGGUGUAGCGGUGGAAUGCGCAGAUAUCAGGAGGAACACCGGUGGCGAAGGCGGGUCUCUGGGCAGUAACUGACGC
rnacentral:rRNA from 1 species